rnacentral:tRNA from 1 species
GGUAGAAUGGCUGAGGAUAGGUGAUAAACUGUAAAUUUAUUUAGGAGAGUGAUCUCUUCUACCAUA